rnacentral:lncRNA from 1 species
CAGCCUGAGGGUCUCAGCAGCUCCUCCUGCAUGAAAGGUGGAAGUACCACCAAAAUCCUGCUGGAAACCCUGUUACUGGCAGCCCAUAAGACGGUGGAGCAGGGCAUUGCAGCAUCUCCAAGAUGCCUUCUGGAAAUCCUGCGGACAUUUGAGCGGGCUCAUAAGGUGACCUACAGUCAAAGCUCCAAGAUCACCCUGAUGAAGCAAGUCAGCACCAGGUACCCAGAGGUGCAGUGGGAGGGGGCGCCCAAGGGCAGAGGAGACUGAGAAGUUUAACAUUGGCGGGAACAAUGGGUCUCUGCACUGGCUUCUCUGUUGACCCCUGUGUUCUUCUGUAUGCAUCUCUGGCUUCUUUUUCAUGGUGACCUCUUAUGUCCUGACCUCUGACUGGUCCUCAGCCUGGAGAAGAGAGGCCGAGAGCACUUGGUUAGCUGGCAGAACCUGAGCCUCAUUGCCAUCAUGGAUGGGGUGGAGUGCAUCCAUACCUUUGGUGCUGGUGGGACCCCAGUCCACACAUUUUUCCUCACCCCACCUGACCCAGCCAACUAGUCUACUAUCCAAACCCUGCCAACUAUUGGAGAGACCUAAAUGUCGGUUCUGCCCUACUGAAUAGGCAUUUCAGUCACAUGCUUCUUCCUUUGGGUCCCAACUCCGUCCUCCAUCCAGCUAUGGUGUCUCACAUGGGUUACCCCUCACCUCACAUCCACUUUCUGUUUCCCUCCCAGCCCCACUGGCAGCCUCCAAAGCCUGGAACUUUCCUUUCCUACAAGGCCCAUCAUUCCCUUUCCCUGUCUUUAAACUUCCCAGAUUUCCGAGACAUCUGUGGCUUUCUCAUUGGGGAUCACAGUGACAUGUUUAACCAGAAGGAUGAGCUCACCAAUCAGGGUCCACAGUUCACCUUCUCCCAGGAAAACUUCCUGACUUCCAUCCUGCCCUCCCUCAUGGAAACUGACACUGUUAUCUUCAUUUUCACCCUGGAUGAUAACCUUGUGGAAGUGCAGACACUGGUGGAGCAGGUGAAAGAGAAGGCCAGCAAUAUCCAGGCCCUGGCGCACAGCACUGUGGGGCAGUCCCUGCCGGUGAGGGUCCAGCCUUGAAAGGGGCCUGGGUGGCAGUCACAGGCUGGCCUGCCUGCACAUGUCGCUCUGGGUCCUGUUUCUCUUCGGGCCCCUCUGAAGAAGCUCUUUCCCGCCACUGCUUUUCUUCGAGUACGAAGGGAACUUCGUCCAGGUAUGGAGGGUGAGAGAGUAAUAUUUGCAGUGAGGGGCUAAGAGUGGGGGAGACCUCAGAAAUUAGAAAACCCAAUGCUGGAGGGGAGAAAGCUUGAAGGUUUGUCUGCCCCCCACCAAGCCAGUAGAUUCUUGAGUUAGCGAGU